rnacentral:misc_RNA from 1 species
GAACGCACAUUGCGCCCCCUGGUAUUCCGGGGGGCAUGCCUGUCCGAGCGUCAUUGCUGCCCUCAAGCCCGGCUUGUGUGUUGGGCCCCGUCCCCCUCUCCGGGGGACGGGCCCGAAAGGCAGCGGCGGCACCGAGUCCGGUCCUCGAGCGUAUGGGGCUUUGUCACCCGCUCUGUAGGCCCGGCUGGCGCCAGCCGACAACCCAUCAUCCUUUUCAGGUUGACCUCGGAUCAGGUAGGGAUACCCGCUGAACUUAAG